GAUGAACGCUGGCGGCGUGCCUAAUACAUGCAAGUCGAGCGAACAGACGAGGAGCUUGCUCCUCUGACGUUAGCGGCGGACGGGUGAGUAACACGUGGAUAACCUACCUAUAAGACUGGGAUAACUUCGGGAAACCGGAGCUAAUACCGGAUAAUAUAUUGAACCGCAUGGUUCAAUAGUGAAAGACGGUUUUGCUGUCACUUAUAGAUGGAUCCGCGCCGCAUUAGCUAGUUGAUAAGGUAACGGCUUACCAAGGCAACGAUGCGUAGCCGACCUGAGAGGGUGAUCGGCCACACUGGAACUGAGACACGGUCCAGACUCCUACGGGAGGCAGCAGUAGGGAAUCUUCCGCAAUGGGCGAAAGCCUGACGGAGCAACGCCGCGUGAGUGAUGAAGGUCUUCGGAUCGUAAAACUCUGUUAUUAGGGAAGAACAAAUGUGUAAGUAACUAUGCACGUCUUGACGGUACCUAAUCAGAAAGCCACGGCUAACUACGU
rnacentral:rRNA from 1 species